rnacentral:misc_RNA from 1 species
GAUGAAGAACGUAGCGAAAUGCGAUAAGUAAUGUGAAUUGCAGAAUUCAGUGAAUCAUCGAAUCUUUGAACGCACCUUGCACCCUUUGGAAUUCCGAAGGGUAUGCUCGUUUGAGUGUCAUUGUACUCUCACACUUCCAAUCUUUGGAUUGGGAGCGGUGGACUUGGGUGUUGCUGCUUACUGUGGCUCACCUCAAAUCGAUUCGUGCACCUCUUGGUUGGACAUAGUACGGCGUGAUAAGUGUCUUCGCCGGCACCUCAGUAGAGGGUGGCUGAUCAGGAGCUCUGUGCUUCAAACCGUCCUCGGACAACAACUGACAACUUGACCUCAAAUCGAGUAGGACUACCCGCUGAACUUAAGCAUAUCAAUAAGCGGAGGA